AUGGCCUCCCAACUAGGGCCACCGUCGCCGUCGCAGGCGCCGGCGAAGUAUGAUCCAGCGGCCACCACCAUCGCUGACAUCGGCGACGACCUCCUGCGCGAGAUCUUCCUCCGCCUCCCCUCCCUCCCCAGCCUCGUCCGUGCCGCCCUCGCCUGCCGCACCUUCCUCCGCGCCGUCCGCUCCUCCCCCGCCUUCCGCCGCCGCUUCCGGGCGCUCCACCCGCCUCAGAUCCUUGGAUACUUCAGCAACCCCUUGCGCACCGCCAUCCCUGCCUUCGUCCCCUUCCGCAGCCGCUCCGACCCGGACCUCGCCGCCGCCGUGGUCCGCGGCUCCGACUUCUUGUUCACCCGUCUACCGGAAGACGGCGACGACACUAGGUGGGCGUUCAAGGGCGACUGCUCCGGCUACGUCUUCAUCCACAACCAGAGCACCGACCAGAUCGCUGUUUACAACCCCCUCACACAGGCGCUGAAUGUCUUCCCCUACCCACCUCAGGAGGCCUGCGAUUCCCGCUAUCUUUAUUUUCGCAUCAUCUUCUCGGAAGACGACCAGAUGUCGUUCCGCGUGGUAUGUGUUCGUCGCCGCAGGCGGCGGCGAAGAACCAUGGUUCGCUUCUCUGUCUUCUCAUCGGACAGCAGGGAGUGGCAGGGUUUCUCGUGGGUGGACACCUCAAUGCCGCAGGCUGGGGAUGAUGGAGGUGAUAAGUGCAUGCUCUCGUCUUACACUGCUACGCCGGUGGAUGAAUUUGAUAGAUUAGUCUACUGGAAACACAAAAAUCAAGCAUAUAUAGUCGUCCUCAAUGCUGGGACGCUGCAGUUAUCUCGAAUGGAUUUGCCGCCGCACUUGAAAGAUAUGGACUCCACAGAAUUUGAGCUUGGUCUGACAAAGGAUGGGGAGCUCUGUAUGGCUUUCACAGACCAGUUUGGUGCAAACGAAGGGAUGCUUGCUGUUUGGUUUUGGAGAGCUGAUGGUGGUGGUGUUGAUAAAUGGAUGCCGCACAAGAUUUUCCCACUGAACAAAUUUGUUGAUUUCUCUAUGCGUUCAGAAGAGUACUAUGAUGUCACAGCGCAGGUUAUCCGAGUCAUAGAUGGUUUUGUGUACCUGUCUGUUUAUUAUCUGUAUACAAAGUGCUUCCUAUCCUUUUGCCUGGAAACAGAGAAGGUCAACAAGCUCUUUGAGUAUGGACUUGGCGUCCAUCCCUACAUCAUGCCGUGGCCUUCUUCUUUGGUAUGCAACAAGGAGGAUUUAGAAACCAAGGUUACUGGAGAAAAUGUGGCAGAAGAUGGUCCUGUGGGCAUAGAAGAAACUCCCUCUGUUCUUGUCACAGCAUUGCGAUCAUAUAAAGAAGCUCUGAUUAAUGGCGAUGGGGCAAAAGUUGCAGAGAUAGAGGCAUUUCUACUUUCUAUUGAGGACGAGAAGAAGUCUCUAGUUGUAUCUCGAGGAUAA
rnacentral:rRNA from 1 species